GCUAGGUGUUCUGCGGGAUGCUAAGAUGGCUUCAGUAUGGCCCACACUCUUUGGAACGUGGAGAACAAUUCUUCCCCAACUUCUGCUGGGGUCUUAUUUUCCAGCCUGGGUGUUAAGCAUAACUGGCAAAUGGAGAGGACCUAGGUGGUAAGGGGAAAUGGCUAGGGGAAGCAAGUGGCACGAUUGCUGUGAUGGUUAAAACCCGUUUGUAUGGUUGUCCAAAGGGAAUCCGCAGCUUGCUUCUCAACAGCAGCCUCUCUGCCUCUUCUGCAGGAACCGCCCUUUCCGGCUCUCUCUUGGGCAGAAAGCAGGGAGUGGAGAUUGGCAUGCUGGAUUUUUUUUCUCAAAACAAACACACAAACAAAAAAACUGUAUCCUCUUCCCUGCCCGGAUGUCCAGUUAUCCAGGGAACAAUUCUUUGAGCAGUUGACACGUCAAAGAUAUUAUGAGGAAGAAGAUGAAACUCAAAGUGGUGACUACUGUCUGAUACCAAGCAACCUCUUCAUGGACCUGGAACCAACUCUUCGAGAUUAUUUCCACCAGCAGCGAGAUAGCUGA
rnacentral:lncRNA from 10 species